AAUAAUAAUAAUAAUAAUAAUAAUAACUCUUCGAUAAAUAGGGCUCAUUUGGCCUAAAUUUUGAAAAAGUGAUUUCUGCAGAAUUAGUUUUUGUUUGGAAAAGCGAUUUCUGUUAGAAGCUGUAGAGCGUUUGGCGGAAUCUGAUAGAACAAUAAUUUUUUUUUUUUUGCCAAAGUGAUUUCGUAACGCUGUUUAAUAAUAUAAUUUUUAAAAGUAAUUAAUAUUACACACCAAUAUUUCAAGUUAUAGUAACUAUUUAAUAUAACAAAAGUGUAUAGUGAUAAAUAUCUAUUAGGACAACAAUUCAUCUAAAUAUGCCCAUCAAUGAUGCAGGAAUACAACCGUGAGUUUGGAUCAUAAUGUAAUCAUCUGUUACUUCACUAUAAGUCUAUGCCGAACUACUCGUAUUGUUUUCAUUUUUUCAAUAUUGGACAUAUAAUUCAUAUUUUGAUCACAUUUAUUGAACUCUUUAUCUUAUGUCAAAUUCUUCAUCUUGUGCCAUAUAUGUUCAUCUGAAUCUCCAU
rnacentral:lncRNA from 1 species